AACGGGUGAGUAAUACAUAGGUAACCUGCCCCUGUGCGGGGGAUAACAGGAGGAAACUCCUGCUAAUACCGCAUAGCCAUGAGCACCGCAUGGAGCUCAUGCCAAAUAUCCUUCAGGGGAUAGCGCAGGGAUGGACCUAUGGCGCAUUAGCUAGUUGGCGGGGCAACGGCCCACCAAGGCAACGAUGCGUAGCCGGCCUGAGAGGGCGGACGGCCACAUUGGGACUGAGACACGGCCCAGACUCCUACGGGAGGCAGCAGUAGGGAAUUUUCGGCAAUGGGGGAAACCCUGACCGAGCAACGCCGCGUGAGCGAAGAAGGCCUUCGGGUCGUAAAGCUCUGUUGUAAAGGAAGAACGUCGCAUGCAGGAAAUGGUGUGCGAGUGACGGUACUUUACCAGAAAGCCACGGCUAACUACGUGCCAGCAGCCGCGGUAAUACGUAGGUGGCGAGCGUUAUCCGGAAUCAUUGGGCGUAAAGAGGGAGCGGGCGGCCGCAAGGGUCUGUGGUGAAAGACCGAAGCUAAACUUCGGUAAGCCAUGGAAACCGGGCGGCUAGAGUGCGGAAGAGGAUCGUGGAAUUCCAUGUGUAGCGGUGAAAUGCGUAGAUAUAUGGAGGAACACCAGUGGCGAAGGCGACG
rnacentral:rRNA from 1 species